GAAUCCUGACACAGGGAGGUAGUGACAAGAAAUAACAAUACAGGGCUACUUCUAGUCUUGUAAUUGGAAUGAGUACAACUUACAUCUCUUCACGAGGAUCAAUUGGAGGGCAAGUCUGGUGCCAGCAGCCGCGGUAAUUCCAGCUCCAAUAGCGUAUAUUAAAGUUGUUGCAGUUAAAAAGCUCGUAGUCGGAUUUCGGGUCGGGCCGAGCGGUCUGCCGAUGGGUAUGCACUGUUCGGCGCGGCCUUCUUUCCGGAGACCGCGGCUACUCUUAACUGAGCGGGCGUGGGAGACGGAUCGUUUACUUUGAAAAAAUCAGAGUGUUUCAAGCAGGCAGCUCGCUCUUGCAUGGAUUAGCAUGGGAUAAUGAAAUAGGACUCUGGUGCUAUUUUGUUGGUUUCGAACACCGGAGUAAUGAUUAACAGGGACAGUCAGG
rnacentral:rRNA from 1 species